AACGUAGGUGGCGAGCGUUAUCCGGAUUUACUGGGCGUAAAGCGCGCGUAGGCGGGUGGGUAAGUCCGCUGUGAAAGCCCGGAGCUCAACUCCGGAGGGUCGGUGGAUACUGCCCAUCUUGAAGGUGCUAGGGGGAGAUGGAAUUACCGGUGUAGCGGUGAAAUGCGUAGAGAUCGGUAGGAACACCAGUGGCGAAGGCGGUCUCCUGGAGCAUACUUGACGCUGAGGCGCGAAAGCUGGGGGAGCGAACGGG
rnacentral:rRNA from 1 species